UACCUGAGUGACUAGCAUUAUUCGGCAUGAUUGGGCGUAAAGGAUACGUAGACUGAAUUACUAAAAAAUUUACUAAAUUCAUAAAAGAUGGAAAAUUUUUAUAAAAAUUCUAGAGUAAAUACAAAGAAGAGAGAUUUUCUUAGAUAACGAUAAAAUGUAACAACCUAAGAAUGUUUGCCAUUGGUUAAUGCGCUUUUCUUGUAUUUUCUGACGUUGAGGUAUGAAAGUAGGGAUCAUGAGCAGGAUUAGAGACCCUGGUAACCCCUACUGUAAACUAUGACUGUUAAAAGUUAACGCUAAACAGUCCGCCUGGUGAGUAUAGUCGCAAGACUCAAAGUUAACAGAAUUGGCGGGGAUUAAAACGAAUGGUGGAACAUGUGGUUUAAUGCGAUAAUCCACGUAGAAUCUUACCAGUUUGAAAUUAAAUUAAAUCUUAUAUAGCUAUAAGUAUAAUUUAUAUCGGUAUUGCAUGGCUGUCGUCAGUUCGUGUUUUGAAAUGUAAAGUUAAGUCUUAUAAACGAACGCAACCUACGGUGGUUCAUAAUUAUUACUAUUACAUUUUGUUUUAGUGAGAAUAGUUUUACUAUUUUCUUAUUUUAAUUUUUUAAAUUAAAAUAAUAAUAAUUAUAGCAUUUUAAUUUCUUAAUGUAAACGGUUGCAUAAUUUUAUAACAAACGUAUAAUGAAACGUGAAAACCUUUGUUAUAUAGUACUAUAAUAAUAUGCAUACGUUAUAAUGUAGCUGAAGUCAAGUCCUCACGGUCUUAGUAAACUGGGCAACACACGUGUUACAAAGAUAAAAACAAAGAGUAACAAAAGAGCAAUCUGAAGUGAUCUCCAAAAAUUAUCUUAGUACGGAAUCGUUUCUGAAACUUGAAGCGGUAAAGUCGAAAUCAUUAGUAGUCGUAAAUGAGUAUGUUACGAUGAAUUAAUAAAUUAAUCCUGCACACACCGCCCAUCACACUCGAAGAGUUUAAAGUCUAGUAAAGUUGUUUAAUUUAAUUAUUAUAUUUGUCCAAUUAUUUUAGCGGCAUUGUAUGCUUUGUUCAUAUUAUGAAUACAAAUCAAAAGAUUUUAAAACUUGGGCAUUAAGCUAGAGUUUUACUUAAAAAAAUUUACUAUAUAAAAUUAACUAUAAUUAAUUUUAUUUAGUAAAGUAAUGAUUGGAACUUCUGACUAGGUUUUAGGUGAUUUGAGUUAAGUUG
rnacentral:rRNA from 1 species